rnacentral:rRNA from 1 species
UGCCAGCAGCCGCGGUAAUACGGAGGGUGCAAGCGUUGCUCGGAAUCACUGGGCGUAAAGCGAACGCAGGCGGCUCUGCAAGUCGGGUGUGAAAGCCCGGGGCUCAACCCCGGAAAUGCACUCGAAACUGCAGGCCUUGAAUACGGGAGAGGAGAGCGGAAUUCCUGGUGUAGAGGUGAAAUUCGUAGAUAUCAGGAGGAACACCGGUGGCGAAAGCGGCUCUCUGGCCCGAUAUUGACGCCCAUGUUCGAAAGCGUGGGUAGCAAACAGGAUUAGAUA